rnacentral:lncRNA from 1 species
UCUGGGUUGCGUGGAACAGCAGAAUUCAUAGAAUUGCUACUUUCUUGCCAGAAGUCUUGAAGAAAACUCUUCUCCCUCAAGUUCUGUGGAUUGACAUCCAUAAACAAAUCUGGGGGAGGUGAUGCACCACUUUCUAACAAGACAGCAUGUAAUUUCUGCGCAAAUUCAGGGUUCUUUGCUGCACUUAUGACAUACUUUGAGACAUUCUUGACUUUUACUUUCUGCGCACAUGUCGGUUUCCCAGGAAACGGCGGCAAGUUUUCACCAGAUAUCUGCUGUGAUUGCAUUAGCUUUCCAAAGUCAUGCUCAAACCUCUCCGUCUGAUGCUUUUCAACAGCACAUCUGUCACUGUUUUCUUCAUGGCUUCCAUUAAACAAGUUUGCCACAAUACCAGAAUUUCUGGAAUCUGUUUCCUCCAAAACUGAAAAUGCUGGCGUUACAAUUUCUUUCUCAGGUACAAAGCAAGAAUGUUGCAACGUGUCCAGAUCAUCAGGAAAUACUCUCGUAUCAGUGCCAGAAACUGGAAGAAAACUACUUGGCACCUCCGAAGGAAUCAGAGCACCCGGAGCACCCAUUAAAUCAAUAAUGUAUUCACUGCAAUGUCAAGAUUGAAUUAGGGCUCUGCAAAAUAUAACUACCAUCACAUAAAAACUGAGCCCAAUAUCAGGAAGCUAGAAUCAUAACAUAAAAACCAUCCCUUACUUUUAAUCAAGUUGGACUACAACAGUCAAUGAAUACCUUUUGUCGUCUAGUUUAAUCAAGUUCACAGCCCCAUCGUCAGUUCCAGUGUAAUAGCUGCCUUUUACCAGCAUACACGGGAGAUCAAUCCUAUCAGCAAGCACCUAGAAAAAAGAAAAGAGAACUAUUCAGCUUCACCCUGUAUCCUAUAGCAGUGAUCAAAAUAAAAUAAGUAAGAGGUCUAAGACCAAAGCUAGUAACAAGUAAAAACAAAUUGUUAUAACCUUGAAAAGCAAAGCCCUGUGACGUGCAAGACCAAAACUAACUCGUCCAAGUGGAAUAACAGUGGUAUUCAAAGAAUUCCUUAGUUCAUAGCUACGAUGCUUCCACCUUCUCAACGCUUCAUCCGCAUUCUCAACGGGGCCACCCAUCUGCUCUACAACUAUAUCCGCAAUCUUCUGAGUCAAAUCACUUGACACCUGACCACGAGCAAAGUCUGGACAUUCCAAAGACAAAACGGACACUCUCCUCUCUAGCUCUUGCAGUCCAGGAUCAAUCAACCGGUUCACCAAAACCACCUCGUAAUCAACAUCGUCAGAAACAGAGAUGGCUUGAAGAUCCACGAGAAGUGGCAUCUUCCCUUGUGAAAGAGAAUUGGAUGUAACCCCAUACACAUCGUAAAAACCGUCCCUAACUUUCUGGUCAUAGUUAAUAACCUUAUGUCCCUACAUAAAACAAGAAAAGUAAACACCAGCUUAAGUCCAAGCAGUAACAGUGAUCAACUACAUCAAUAUCCUAACUUCUCUAACCAUAAACUACACAUGAAUCUAAUAAUUAGUCAAUGUACAUAGUGUAUGUCCCCUACAAAAUGUAAUCACCAGCAUGAUCAGCAGUAGCAAUGUUCAAUUCCAGCAAAACCCUAAUUUCUCACUCUCUAGACAAAUUAAUCUAACGAUUAGUCAAUGUAUAGAGUGUAUACCCAAUAGCGUAAGGAUAAAAAGUCAACGGCGGAGUCAGCGUUAGUGACCGGAGCCUUAACCCCAAGGCUAAUCCUCUUAGCUGCAUCAAGCUGAGCCGUAUCUGCAUUCUCUCUCGGAUCGGGAUCAGAAACGCUGAUCGCCAUAGCUAACUGGACUUGGUACUCCUCCUCCAUCAAACCAAAAUCGAUACCGUCCACAGCCGCCGCCAUAUCCCGCCCCGCAGGCUCAAACGUCUCCAGCCUCGGCAAGUGAUCCAUUCACGAAUUAUAAAAGAACAGUAUGAGGAUUAACCUGGGUAGGAACUCUGUCAGGAUGGAAAAAUUUGGAGGUCGAGUAACUGCUCCCAUGAAAAGAACAACAUUUGGAUGCCGCAACCUCAGCAUUAUUUCAAUCUAUCGGAACAAAAUAAACCAUUCAUAGUAUGAUUAAAUAGACUGCAAGUAACUCUACAGAAACAAAUAUGUCUAUGAUUGAAUGAUCUGGAGUUACUUCAGAUCUGAACUGUGUCAAUGCAUCACCAGAGAAAUCUUGGUCCAGAAACUUCUUAACAGCCACUUCCUGAAAUUAGAAACACAAUCAGCCAAGAAAUUCAUGUAUAAGAUAGCAAUCCACUUGAUUGAAAGAAAAUGGGUUUUAGAAAGCGCAAACUAAGCAUCUUUUCUAAGAAUAUAAGACUCCAAAACUUAACUCACAGUUCCAUUCCACUCUGCACGGUAAACUUCUCCAUAUGAACCUGCAACAGACACAACACCGAGAAGGAGCAAAGUUAGAUCUUGUAAUCCGGGAUACUAAGGGCUAGUCUGGUUUAUCAAACUGAAAAUCGUUGGGGUUUAGAUUUUAGCAACAAUCUUCAUCAAAAGUUCCUCUCCUCACGGAUACAACUAUAAGUUUGCAAGCUUCUAUGGAAAUCUACUGUUUGAUAAAACCUUACCAAUACCAAUCCGCUCGCCGAUCUGAAGAUCUUCCCACAUAAUUUCCCAUUUUGCAGCCUCGCCGAGAAAUGGAUUAAUUCCUUGGUCAUGACUAUCACAAACAGAAGGCUCCCCAUCAGCAGUGUCAAAUUGACACUGUCAAUCUCCAUUUUUUCCGGUGAAGAAACUUUACCCAUAUUAUCCACCUCAAAGGUUUUCUUCAUUGAAAAAUCGACCUCCCCUGAAGUACAAACAGCUGACAUUUGCAGUGCUGUGGGGUUCCUUUCAGAUUCUCUCAUUUGUUCAGCUAACUGAUCUCCGACCUAUUCAUGUGGAUGGAAAUAAACAAAGACUUCAGAUUUUUAAGGAUCGAGUGUGCAGGUGGGAAGAAUUAAAAGAAACUUGUGCUAAUUUAGUAAAAGGGGAAGUGUAUCCUAAGAUUACCUUUUCUGGGUUGCGUGGAACAGCAGAAUUCAUAGAAUUGCUACUUUCUUGCCAGAAGUCUUGAAGAAAACUCUUCUCCCUCAAGUUCUGUGGAUUGACAUCCAUAAACAAAUCUGGGGGAGGUGAUGCACCACUUUCUAACAAGACAGCAUGUAAUUUCUGCGCAAAUUCAGGGUUCUUUGCUGCACUUAUGACAUACUUUGAGACAUUCUUGACUUUUACUUUCUGCGCACAUGUCGGUUUCCCAGGAAACGGCGGCAAGUUUUCACCAGAUAUCUGCUGUGAUUGCAUUAGCUUUCCAAAGUCAUGCUCAAACCUCUCCGUCUGAUGCUUUUCAACAGCACAUCUGUCACUGUUUUCUUCAUGGCUUCCAUUAAACAAGUUUGCCACAAUACCAGAAUUUCUGGAAUCUGUUUCCUCCAAAACUGAAAAUGCUGGC